rnacentral:rRNA from 1 species
GCCAUCCUUGGGAUACCACCCUUGUAGUACUGGGACUCUAACCAUAGGCCAUGAAUCUGGUCUUGGGACACUGUCAGGUGGGCAGUUUGACUGGGGCGGUCGCCUCCCAAAAGGUAACGGAGGCGCUCAAAGGUUCUCUCAGUACGGUCGGAAAUCGUACGUAGAGUGUAAAGGCAACAGAGAGCUUGAUUGCAAGACAUACAGGUCGAGCAAGGAUGAAAAUCGGACUUAGUGAUCCGGUGGUUCUGCGUGGAAGGGCCAUCGCUCAACGGAUAAAAGCUACCCUGGGGAUAACAGGCUUAUCUCCCCCAAGAGUCCACAUCGACGGGGAGGUUUGGCACCUCGAUGUCGGCUCAUCACAUCCUGGGGCUGUAGUAGGUCCCAAGGGUUGGGCUGUUCGCCCAUUAAAGUGGUACGCGAGCUGGGUUCAGAACGUCGUGAGACAGUUCGGUCCCUAUCCGUCGCAGGCGUAGGAAAUUUGAGAAGACCUGUCCUUAGUACGAGAGGACCGGGAUGGACGUACCUCUGGUGUACCAGUUGU